rnacentral:rRNA from 1 species
CCUACGGGAGGCAGCAGGUGGGAAUAUUGCACAAUGGGCGGAAGCCUGAUGCAGCAACGCCGCGUGCGGGAUGACGGCCUUCGGGUUGUAAACCGCUUUCGCCUGUGACGAAGCGUGAGUGACGGUAAUGGGUAAAGAAGCACCGGCUAACUACGUGCCAGCAGCCGCGGUAG